CCUGGGCCCCAUGGGUCAUGUGUACGCCACUGAUGCUAGCAGAUUGCUUGUAUAUGGAGAGGUAUUAGCAGUAGCAAGAGAGAAGUGCUCAUGCCAUUGUACAGAACACUGGUGAGACCUCACUUGGAGUAUUGUACACAGUACUGGAGACCUUAUCUCCAGAAGGAUGUUGAUACUUUAGAGAGAGUUCAGAGAAGGGCUACUAAACUGGUUCAUGGAUUGCAGGAUAAAACUUACCAGGAAAGGUUAAAGGAUCUUAACAUGUAUAGCUUUGAGGAAAGACGAGACAGGGGGGAUAUGAUAGAAACAUUUAAAUACAUAAAGGGAAUCAACACAGUAAAGGAGGAGACCAUAUUUAGAAGAAGAAAAACUACCACAACAAAAGGACAGUCUUAAAUUAGAGGGGCAAAGGUUUAAAAAUAAUAUCAGGAAGUAUUACUUUA
rnacentral:lncRNA from 1 species